ACUCCUACGGGAGGCAGCAGUAGGGAAUCUUCCACAAUGGACGAAAGUCUGAUGGAGCAACGCCGCGUGAACGAUGAAGGCUUUCGGGUCGUAAAGUUCUGUUGUAAGGGAAGAACAAGUGCCGCAGGCAAUGGCGGCACCUUGACGGUACCUUGCGAGAAAGCCACGGCUAACUACGUGCCAGCAGCCGCGGUAAUACGUAGGUGGCAAGCGUUGUCCGGAAUUAUUGGGCGUAAAGCGCGCGCAGGCGGCCUCUUAAGUCUGAUGUGAAAGCCCCGGCUCAACCGGGGGAGGGCCAUUGGAAACUGGGAGGCUUGAGUAUAGGAGAGAAGAGUGGAAUUCCACGUGUAGCGGUGAAAUGCGUAGAGAUGUGGAGGAACACCAGUGGCGAAGGCGACUCUUUGGCCUAUAACUGACGCUGAGGCGCGAAAGCGUGGGGAGC
rnacentral:rRNA from 1 species